rnacentral:misc_RNA from 1 species
UAUAAAGAUGCUUUACAGCUAACUCUCUAUUCUCUGUACGAACAGUUCCGAGAUCCGUACGAAAUAUGAGGGUCUAUCUUAAUGUACUAUCAUCACUGAUGCUUUGCCUUGCUUAAGAUCCGUAAUAAGUCUUCCGACAAAGCUUCAAAUCUAUCUAAAUGAUUUUCUCUUAAGGAUAAACCUCAACUAAUAAAUGACAAAAAUUGAUGCCUCGCCUGGACAAGGCAAAUUUUAUGGAGUCUUCAUUCCGUUUCGAAAUAACUAUCAUAUAUAGAAAGUCGAUCAAAAGCAUCAAAGUUUGCCUUUAGUCCAACAAAUUGACUAC